rnacentral:rRNA from 1 species
UACGUAGGGGGCAAGCGUUGUCCGGAGUCAUUGGGCGUAAAGAGCGUGUAGGCGGCCCGGUAAGUCCGCUGUGAAAGUCCAGGGCUCAACCCUGGGAUGCCGGUGGAUACUGUCGGGCUCGAGUCCGGAAGAGGCGAGUGGAAUUCCUGGUGUAGCGGUGAAAUGCGCAGAUAUCAGGAGGAACACCAAUGGCGAAGGCAGCUCGCUGGGACGUGACUGACGCUGAGACGCGAAAGCGUGGGGAGCAAACAGG